rnacentral:lncRNA from 1 species
AUAUUUCUUACUCUCUCGGGGCUGGAAGCUUCCUGACUGAAGAUCUCUCUGCACUUGGGGUUCUUUCUAGAACAUUUUCUAGUCCCCCAACACCCUUUAUGGCGUAUUUCUUUAAAAAAAUCACCUAAAUUCCAUAAAAUAUUUUUUUAAAUUCUAUACUUUCUCCUAGUGUCUUCUUGACACGUCCUCCAUAUUUUUUUAAAGAAAGUAUUUGGAAUAUUUUGAGGCAAUUUUUAAUAUUUAAGGAAUUUUUCUUUGGAAUCAUUUUUGGUUGACAUCUCUGUUUUUUGUGGAUCAGUUUUUUACUCUUCCACUCUCUUUUCUAUAUUUUGCCCAUCGGGGCUGCGGAUACCUGGUUUUAUUAUUUUUUCUUUGCCCAACGGGGCCGUGGAUACCUGCCUUUUAAUUCUUUUUUAUUCGCCCAUCGGGGCCGCGGAUACCUGCUUUUUAUUUUUUUUUCCUUAGCCCAUCGGGGUAUCGGAUACCUGCUGAUUCCCUUCCCCUCUGAACCCCCAACACUCUGGCCCAUCGGGGUGACGGAUAUCUGCUUUUUAAAAAUUUUCUUUUUUUGGCCCAUCGGGGCUUCGGAUACCUGCUUUUUUUUUUUUUAUUUUUCCUUGCCCAUCGGGGCCUCGGAUACCUGCUUUAAUUUUUGUUUUUCUGGCCCAUCGGGGCCGCGGAUACCUGCUUUGAUUUUUUUUUUUCAUCGCCCAUCGGUGCUUUUUAUGGAUGAAAAAAUGUUGGUUUUGUGGGUUGUUGCACUCUCUGGAAUAUCUACACUUUUUUUUGCUGCUGAUCAUUUGGUGGUGUGUGAGUGUACCUACCGCUUUGGCAGAGAAUGACUCUGCAGUUAAGCUAAGGGCGUGUUCAGAUUGUGGAGGAAAAGUGGCCGCCAUUUUAGACUUGCCGCAUAACUCGGCUUAGGGCUAGUCGUUUGUGCUAAGUUAAACUAGGGAGGCAAGAUGGAUGAUAGCAGGUCAGGCAGAGGAAGUCAUGUGCAUUGCAUGAGCUAAACCUAUCUGAAUGAAUUGAUUUGGGGCUUGUUAGGAGCUUUGCGUGAUUGUUGUAUCGGGAGGCAGUAAGAAUCAUCUUUUAUCAGUACAAGGGACUAGUUAAAAAUGGAAGGUUAGGAAAGACUAAGGUGCAGGGCUUAAAAUGGCGAUUUUGACAUUGCGGCAUUGCUCAGCAUGGCGGGCUGUGCUUUGUUAGGUUGUCCAAAAUGGCGGAUCCAGUUCUGUCGCAGUGUUCAAGUGGCGGGAAGGCCACAUCAUGAUGGGCGAGGCUUUGUUAAGUGGUUAGCAUGGUGGUGGACAUGUGCGGUCACACAGGAAAAGAUGGCGGCUGAAGGUCUUGCCGCAGUGUAAAACAUGGCGGGCCUCUUUGUCUUUGCUGUGUGCUUUUCGUGUUGGGUUUUGCCGCAGGGACAAUAUGGCAGGCGUUGUCAUAUGUAUAUCAUGGCUUUUGUCACGUGGACAUCAUGGCGGGCUUGCCGCAUUGUUAAAGAUGGCGGGUUUUGCCGCCUAGUGCCACGCAGAGCGGGAGAAAAGGUGGGAUGGACAGUGCUGGAUUGCUGCAUAACCCAACCAAUUAGAAAUGGGGGUGGAAUUGAUCACAGCCAAUUAGAGCAGAAGAUGGAAUUAGACUGAUGACACACUGUCCAGCUACUCAGCGAAGACCUGGGUGAAUUAGCAUGGCACUUCGCAGCUGUCUUUAGCCAGUCAGGAGAAAGAAGUGGAGGGGCCACGUGUAUGUCUCCCAGUGGGCGGUACACCAGGUGUUUUCAAGGUCUUUUCAAGGACAUUUAGCCUUUCCACCUCUGUCCCCUCUUAUUUGUCCCCUCCUGUCCAGUGCUGCCUCUUGCAGUGCUGGAUAUCUGGCUGUGUGGUCUGAACCUCCCUCCAUUCCUCUGUAUUGGUGCCUCACCUAAGGCUAAGUAUACCUCCCCCCCCACCCCCCAACCCCCCCAACUCCCCACCCCCACCCCCCACCCCCCACCUCCCCACCCCCCUACCCCCCUACCCCCCUACCCCCCUCUGGUCUGCCCUGCACUGCACUGUUGCCAUGGGCAGUGCUCCAGGCCUGCUUGGUGUGGACAUGGUGGUGAGCCGUGGCAAGGACCAGAAUGGAUCACAGAUGAUCGUUGGCCAACAGGUGGCAGAAGAGGAAUUCCUGCCUUCCUCAAGAGGAACACCUACCCCUUGGCUAAUGCUGGGGUCGGAUUUUGAUUUAUAUUUAUCUUUUGGAUGUCAGUCAUACAGUCUGAUUUUGUGGUUUGCUAGUGUUUGAAUUUAAGUCUUAAGUGACUAUUAUAGAAAUGUAUUAAGAGGCUUUAUUUGUAGAAUUCACUUUAAUUACAUUUAAUGAGUUUUUGUUUUGAGUUCCUUAAAAUUCCUUAAAGUUUUUAGCUUCUCAUUACAAAUUCCUUAACCUUUUUUUGGCAGUAGAUAGUCAAAGUCAAAUCAUUUCUAAUGUUUUAAAAAUGUGCUGGUCAUUUUCUUUGAAAUUGACUUAACUAUUUUCCUUUGAAGAGUCUGUAGCACAGAAACAGUAAAAAAUUUAACUUCAUGACCUAAUGUAAAAAAGAGUGUUUGAAGGUUUACACAGGUCCAGGCCUUGCUUUGUUCCCAUCCUUGAUGCUGCACUAAUUGACUAAUCACCUACUUAUCAGACAGGAAACUUGAAUUGCUGUGGUCUGGUGUCCUCUAUUCAGACUUAUUAUAUUGGAGUAUUUCAAUUUUUCGUUGUAUCCUGCCUGCCUAGCAUCCAGUUCCUCCCCAGCCCUGCUCCCAGCAAACCCCUAGUCUAGCCCCAGCCCUACUCCCACCCCGCCCCAGCCCUGCCCCAGCCCCAGUCCCCUAACCCCCCAGCCCUAGCCCCAGUCCCAGUCCUAGUUCCUCAGUCCCGCCCAGCUUCUCUCGAAAGUCACUCUAAUUUUCAUUGAUUCAGUGCUCAAAAUAAGUUGUCCAUUGCUUAUCCUAUUAUACUGGGAUAUUCCGUUUACCCUUGGCAUUGCUGAUCUUCAGUACUGACUCCUUGACCAUUUUCAGUUAAUGCAUACAAUCCCAUUUGUCUGUGAUCUCAGGACAAAGAAUUUCCUUACUCGGUACGUUGAAGUUAGGGAAUGUCAAUUGAGAGCUUUCUAUCAGAGCAUUAUUGCCCACAAUUUGAGUUACUUAUCAUUUUCUCGAUCCCCUGCCCUUAAAGGAGAAACCAUUUCUCUGUCAUUGCUUCUGUAGUCACAGUCCCAAUUUUGAGUAGUGAUCUUUUCUUGUGUACUGUGUUGGCCACCUAAAACUCUUUGCAUUGAGUAAAAUUCUAAUUGCCAAUAAUCCUACCCAUUGGAUUAGACAGCACUCUGAACCCCAUUUGCAUUCAGCAGGGGGUCGCAGACAACCCGUCUUUUGUUGGACAGUUAAAAUGCUCAGUCCCAAUUGUCAUAGCUUUGCCUAUUAAACAAAGGCACCCUACUGCGCUUUUUGCUGUGCUUCUGGAGAAUCCUGCUGUUCUUGGACAAUUAAAGAACAAAGUAGUAAUUGCUAAUUGUCUCACCCAUUAAUCAUGAAGACUACCAGUCGCCCUUGCAUUUGCCUUGAGGCAGCGCUGACUACCUGAGAUUUAAGAGUUUCUUAAAUUAUUGAGUAAAAUCCCAAUUAUCCAUAGUUCUGUUAGUUACACUAUGGCCUUUGCAAACAUCUUUGCAUAACAGCAGUGGGACUGACUCAUUCUUAGAGCCCCUUCCCUUGGAAUAUUAAUGGAUACAAUAGUAAUUAUUCAUGGUUCUGCGUAACAGAGAAGACCCACUUAUGUGUAUGCCUUUAUCAUUGCUCCUAGAUAGUGUGAACUACCUACCACCUUGCAUUAAUAUGUAAAACACUAAUUGCCCAUAGUCCCACUCAUUAGUCUAGGAUGUCCUCUUUGCCAUUGCUGCUGAGUUCUGACUACCCAAGUUUCCUUCUCUUAAACAGUUGAUAUGCAUAAUUGCAUAUAUUCAUGGUUCUGUGCAAUAAAAAUGGAUUCUCACCCCAUCCCACCUUCUGUGGGAUGUUGCUAACGAGUGCAGAUUAUUCAAUAACAGCUCUUGAACAGUUAAUUUGCACAGUUGCAAUUGUCCAGAGUCCUGUCCAUUAGAAAGGGACUCUGUAUCCUAUUUGCACGCUACAAUGUGGGCUGAUCACCCAAGGACUCUUCUUGUGCAUUGAUGUUCAUAAUUGUAUUUGUCCACGAUCUUGUGCACUAACCCUUCCACUCCCUUUGUAUUCCAGCAGGGGACCCUUACUACUCAAGACCUCUGUACUAGGACAGUUUAUGUGCACAAUCCUAAUUGAUUAGAACUGAGUCUUUUAUAUCAAGGUCCCUGCAUCAUCUUUGCUUUACAUCAAGAGGGUGCUGGUUACCUAAUGCCCCUCCUCCAGAAAUUAUUGAUGUGCAAAAUGCAAUUUCCCUAUCUGCUGUUAGUCUGGGGUCUCAUCCCCUCAUAUUCCUUUUGUCUUACAGCAGGGGGUACUUGGGACUGUUAAUGCGCAUAAUUGCAAUUAUGGUCUUUUCCAUUAAAUUAAGAUCCCAACUGCUCACACCCUCUUAGCAUUACAGUAGAGGGUGCUAAUCACAAGGACAUUUCUUUUGUACUGUUAAUGUGCUACUUGCAUUUGUCCCUCUUCCUGUGCACUAAAGACCCCACUCACUUCCCUAGUGUUCAGCAGUGGAUGACCUCUAGUCAAGACCUUUGCACUAGGAUAGUUAAUGUGAACCAUGGCAACUGAUCACAACAAUGUCUUUCAGAUCAGAUCCAUUUUAUCCUCCUUGUUUUACAGCAAGGGAUAUUAAUUACCUAUGUUACCUUUCCCUGGGACUAUGAAUGUGCAAAAUUCCAAUGUUCAUGGUCUCUCCCUUUAAACCUAUAUUCUACCCCUUUUACAUUAUAGAAAGGGAUGCUGGAAACCCAGAGUCCUUCUCUUGGGACUCUUAAUGUGUAUUUCUAAUUAUCCAUGACUCUUAAUGUGCAUAUUUUCAAUUGCCUAAUUGAUUUCAAUUGUCUAAGACAUUUCAAAUGUCUAAUUGAUUAGAACUGAGUCUUUUAUAUCAAGCUAAUAUCUAGCUUUUAUAUCAAGCUAAUAUCUUGACUUCUCAGCAUCAUAGAAGGGGGUACUGAUUUCCUAAAGUCUUUCUUGAAUUUCUAUUAUGCAAAAUUGCCCUGAGGCCGGGUGUGGUGGCUCACACCUGUAAUCCCAGCACUUUGGGAGGCUGAGGUGGGAAGAUCCCUUACUGCCAGGAGUUUGAGACCAGCCUGGCCAACAUUAAAAAAAAAAAAAAGUAAGACAAUUGCCCUGGAAUCCCAUCCCCCUCACACCUCCUUGGCAAAGCAGCAGGAGUGCUAACUAGCUAGUGCUUCUUCUCUUAUACUGCUUAAAUGCGCAUAAUUAGCAGUAGUUGAUGUGCCCCUAUGUUAGAGUAGAAUCCCGCUUCCUUGCUCCAUUUGCAUUACUGCAGGAGCUUCUAACUAGCCUGAAUUCACUCUCUUGGACUGUUAAUGUGCAUACUUAUAUUUGCUGCUGUACUUUUUUACCAUGUAAGGACCCCACCCACUGUAUUUACAUCCCAGCUGGAAGUACCUACUACUUAAGACCCUUAGACUAGUAAAGUUAGCGUGCAUAAUCUUAGGUGUUAUAUACACAUUUUCAGUUGCAUACAGUUGUGCCUUUUAUCAGGACUCCUGUACUUAUCAAAGCAGAGAGUGCUAAUCAAUAUUAAGCCCUUCUCUUCGAACUGUAGAUGGCAUGUAAUUGCAGUUGUCAAUGGUCCUUCAAUUAGACUUGGGUUUCUGACCUAUCACACCCUCUUUGCUUUAUUGCAUGGGGUACUAUUCACUUAAGGCCCCUUUCUCAAACUGUUAAUGUGCCUAAUGACAAUUACAUCAGUAUCCUUCCUUUUGAAGGACAGCAUGGUUGGUGACACCUAAGGCCCCAUUUCUUGGCCUCCCAAUAUGUGUGAUUGUAUUUGUCGAGGUUGCUAUGCACUAGAGAAGGAAAGUGCUCCCCUCAUCCCCACUUUUCCCUUCCAGCAGGAAGUGCCCACCCCAUAAGACCCUUUUAUUUGGAGAGUCUAGGUGCACAAUUGUAAGUGACCACAAGCAUGCAUCUUGGACAUUUAUGUGCGUAAUCGCACACUGCUCAUUCCAUGUGAAUAAGGUCCUACUCUCCGACCCCUUUUGCAAUACAGAAGGGUUGCUGAUAACGCAGUCCCCUUUUCUUGGCAUGUUGUGUGUGAUUAUAAUCGUCUGGGAUCCUAUGCACUAGAAAAGGAGGGUCCUCUCCACAUACCUCAGUCUCACCUUUCCCUUCCAGCAGGGAGUGCCCACUCCAUAAGACUCUCACAUUUGGACAGUCAAGGUGCGUAAUUGUUAAGUGAACACAACCAUGCACCUUAGACAUGGAUUUGCAUAACUACACACAGCUCAACCUAUCUGAAUAAAAUCCUACUCUCAGACCCCUUUUGCAGUACAGCAGGGGUGCUGAUCACCAAGGCCCUUUUUCCUGGCCUGGUAUGCGUGUGAUUAUGUUUGUCCCGGUUCCUGUGUAUUAGACAUGGAAGCCUCCCCUGCCACACUCCACCCCCAAUCUUCCUUUCCCUUCCGGCAGGGAGUGCCCUCUCCAUAAGACGCUUACGUUUGGACAAUCAAGGUGCACAGUUGUAAGUGACCACAGGCAUACACCUUGGACAUUAAUGUGCAUAACCACUUUGCCCAUUCCAUCUGAAUAAGGUCCUACUCUCAGACCCCUUUUGCAGUACAGCAGGGGUGCUGAUCACCAAGGCCCCUUUUCUUGGCCUGUUAUGUGCGUGAUUAUAUUUGUCUGGGUUCCUGUGUAUUAGACAAGGAAGCCUUCCCCCCGCCCCCACCCCCACUCCCAGUCUUCCUUUCCCUUCCAGCAGGGAGUGCCCCCUCCAUAAGAUCAUUACAUUUGGACAAUCAAGGUGCACAAUUAUAAGUGACCACAGCCAUGCACCUUGGACAUUAUUGGACAUUAAUGUGCGUAACUGCACAUGGCCCAUCCCAUCUGAAUAAGGUCCUACUCUCAGAUGCCCUUUGCAGUACAGCAGGGGUACUGAAUCACCAAGGCCCUUUUUCUUGGCCUGUUAUGUGUGUGAUUAUAUUUAUCCCAGUUUCUGUGUAAUAGACAUGAAAGCCUCCCCUGCCACACCCCACCUCCAAUCUUCCUUUCCCUUCCACCAGGGAGUGUCCACUCCAUAUACCCUUACAUUUGGACAAUCAAGGUGCACAAUUGUAAGUGAGCAUAGGCACUCACCUUGGACAUGAAUGUGCAUAACUGCACAUGGCCCAUCCCAUCUGAAUAAGGUCCUACUCUCAGACCCUUUUUGCAGUACAGCAGGGGUGCUGAUCACCAAGGCCCCUUUUCCUGGCCUGUUAUGUGUGUGAUUAUAUUUGUUCCAGUUCCUGUGUAAUAGACAUGGAAGCCUCCCCUGCCACACUCCACCCCCAAUCUUCCUUUCCCUUCUGGCAGGAAGUACCCGCUCCAUAAGACCCUUACAUUUGGACAGUCAAGGUGCACAAUUGUAUGUGACCACAACCAUGCACCUUGGACAUAAAUGUGUGUAACUGCACAUGGCCCAUCCCAUCUGAAUAAGGUCCUACUCUCAGACCCCUUUUGCAGUACAGUAGGUGUGCUGAUAACCAAGGCCCCUCUUCCUGGCCUGUUAACGUAUGUGAUUAUAUUUGUCUGGGUUCCAGUGUAUAAGACAUGGAAGCCUCCCCUGCCCCACCCCACCCUCAAUCUUCCUUUCCCUUCUGGCAGGGAGUGCCAGCUCCAUAAGAACCUUACAUUUGGACAGUCAAGGUGCACAAUUCUAAGUGACCGCAGCCAUGCACCUUGGUCAAUAAUGUGUGUAACUGCACACGGCCUAUCUCAUCUGAAUAAGGCCUUACUCUCAGACCCCUUUUGCAGUACAGCAGGGGUGCUGAUAACCAAGGCCCAUUUUCCUGGCCUGUUAUGUGUGUGAUUAUAUUUGUCCAGGUUUCUGUGUACUAGACAAGGAAGCCUCCUCUGCCCCAUCCCAUCUACGCAUAAUCUUUCUUUUCCUCCCAGCAGGGAGUGCUCACUCCAUAAGACCCUUACAUUUGGACAAUCAAGGUGCACAAUUGUAAGUGACCACAACCAUGCAUCUUGGAAAUUUAUGUGCAUAACUGCACAUGGCUUAUCCUAUUUGAAUAAAGUCCUACUCUCAGACCCCCUUUGCAGUAUAGCUGGGGUGCUGAUCACUGAGGCCUCUUUGCUUGGCUUGUCUAUAUUCUUGUGUACUAGAUAAGGGCACCUUCUCAUGGACUCCCUUUGCUUUUCAACAAGGAGUACCCACUACUUUUUAAGAUUCUUAUAUUUGUCCAAAGUACAUGGUUUUAAUUGACCACAACAAUGUCCCUUGGACAUUAAUGUAUGUAAUCACCACAUGGUUCAUCCUAAUUAAACAAAGUUCUACCUUCUCACCCUCCAUUUGCAGUAUACCAGGGUUGCUGACCCCCUAAGUCCCCUUUUCUUGGCUUGUUGACAUGCAUAAUUGCAUUUAUGUUGGUUCUUGUGCCCUAGACAAGGAUGCCCCACCUCUUUUCAAUAGUGGGUGCCCACUCCUUAUGAUCUUUACAUUUGAACAGUUAAUGUGAAUAAUUGCAGUUGUCCACAACCCUAUCACUUCUAGGACCAUUAUACCUCUUUUGCAUUACUGUGGGGUAUACUGUUUCCCUCCAAGGCCCCUUCUGGUGGACUAUCAACAUAUAAUUGAAAUUUUCUUUUGUCUUUGUCAGUAGAUUAAGGUCAUACCCCAUCACCUUUCCUUUGUAGUACAACAGGGUGUCCUGAUCAACCAAAGUCCUGUUGUUUUGGACUGUUAAUAUGUGCAAUUACAUUUGCUCCUGAUCUGUGCACUAGAUAAGGAUCCUACCUACUUUCUUAGUGUUUUUAGCAGGUAGUGCCCACUACUCAAGACUGUCACUUGGAAUGUUCAUGUGCACAAACUCAAUUCUCUAAGCAUGUUCCUGUACCACCUUUGCUUUAGAGCAGGGGGAUGAUAUUCACUAAGUGCCCCUUCUUUUGGACUUAAUAUGCAUUAAUGCAAUUGUCCACCUCUUCUUUUAGACUAAGAGUUGAUCUCCACAUAUUCCCCUUGCAUCAGGGGCAUGUUAAUUAUGAAUGAACCCUUUUCUUUUAAUAUUAAUGUCAUAAUUGUAUUUGUGGACCUGUGUAGGAGAAAAAGACCCUAUGUUCCUCCCAUUACCCUUUGGAUUGCUGCUGAGAAGUGUUAACUACUCAUAAUCUCAGCUCUUGGACAAUUAAUAGCAUUAAUAACAAUUAUCAAGGGCACUGAUCAUUAGAUAAGACUCCUGCUUCCUCGUUGCUUACAUCGGGGGUACUGACCCACUAAGGCCCCUUGUACUGUUAAUGUGAAUAUUUGCAAUUAUAUAUGUCUCCUUCUGGUAGAGUGGGAUAUUAUGCCCUAGUAUCCCCUUUGCAUUACUGCAGGGGCUGCUGACUACUCAAAACUUCUCCUGGGACUGUUAAUAGGCACAAUGGCAGUUAUCAAUGGUUUUCUCCCUCCCUGACCUUGUUAAGCAAGCGCCCCACCCCACCCUUAGUUUCCCAUGGCAUAAUAAAGUAUAAGCAUUGGAGUAUUCCAUGCACUUGUCUAUCAAACAGUGGUCCAUACUCCCAACCCUUUUGCAUUGCGCCAGUGUGUAAAAUCACAGGUAGCCAUGGUGUCAUGCUUUAUAUACGAAGUCUUCCCUCUCUCUGCCCCUUGUGUGCCCUUGGCCCCUUUUUACAGACUAUUGCUCACAAUCUCAGGUGUCCAUAUUUGCAGCUAUUAGGUAAGAUUGUGCUGUCUCCCUCUUCCCUUCCCUCUGCCCUGCCCCUUUUGCCUCUUUGCUGGGUAAUGUUGACCAGACAAGGCCCUUUCUCUUGGACUUAAACAAUUCUCAGUUGCACUUUCCUUGGUCCCACCCAUUAUACAUGAACCCCUCUACUUCCUUUCGCAUUGCUUCUGAGUAUGCUGACUACCCAAAGCCCCUUCUGUGUUAUUAAUAAACACAGUACUGAUUGUCCCAUUUUUCAGCCCAUCAGUCCAAGAUCUCCCUACCACUUUGGUGUGUUGGUGCAGUGUUGACUAUGAAAAGCAGGCCUGAACUAGGUGGAUAAGCCUUCACUCAUUUUCUUUCAUUUAUUAAUGAUCCUAGUUUCAAUUAUUGUCAGAUUCUGGGGACAAGAACCAUUCUUGCCCACCUGUGUUACUGCUUUACUGUGCAAAAUACUGAAGGCAAGUCAGACCCAGGGAGCUGGAUUGCCAUCCUUUAUUUUGUGUUUCCAGUGUACACUAUAAAAUUGUCUCCCCAGGAAGGAAGGUUGGCACUUUCUCUGCAUUCUUCUUUCCAGAGCAGAUUGCCUGGUUAAGAAUCUCUUGUUGUCCCCUUUGUAUAUUGUUAUUGUAAAGUGCCAAAUGCCAGGAUACAGCCAGAAAAAUUGCUUAUUAUUAUUAAAAAAAUUUUUUUAAGAAAGACAUCUGGAUUGUAGGGUGGACUCGAUAACCUGGUCAUUAUUUUUUUGAAGCCAAAAUAUCCAUUUAUACUAUGUACCUGGUGACCAGUGUCUCUCAUUUUAACUGAGGGUGGUGGGUCUGUGGAUAGAACACUGACUCUUGCUAUUUUAAUAUCAAAGAUAUUCUAGAGUGGAACUCUUAAGACCAGUAUCUUUGUGUGGGCUUUACCAGCAUUCACUUUUAGAAAAACUACCUAAAUUUUAUAAUCCUUUAAUUUCUUCAUCUGGAGCACCUGCCCCUACUUAUUUCAAGAAGAUUGCAGUAAAACGAUUAAAUGAGGGAACAUAUGCAGAGGUGCUUUUAAAAAGCAUAUGCCACCUUUUUUAUUAAUUAUUAUAUAAAAUGAAGCAUUUAAUUAUAGUAAUAAUUUGAAGUAGUUUGAAGUACCACACUGAGGUGAGGACUUAAAAAUGAUAAGACGAGUUCCCUAUUUUAUAAGAAAAAUAAGCCAAAAUUAAAUAUUCUUUUGGAUAUAAAUUUCAACAGUGAGAUAGCUGCCUAGUGGAAAUGAAUAAUAUCCCAGCCACUAGUGUACAGGGUGUUUUGUGGCACAGGAUUAUGUAAUAUGGAACUGCUCAAGCAAAUAACUAGUCAUCACAACAGCAGUUCUUUGUAAUAACUGAAAAAGAAUAUUGUUUCUCGGAGAAGGAUGUCAAAAGAUCGGCCCAGCUCAGGGAGCAGUUUGCCCUACUAGCUCCUCGGACAGCUGUAAAGAAGAGUCUCUGGCUCUUUAGAAUACUGAUCCCAUUGAAGAUACCACGCUGCAUGUGUCCUUAGUAGUCAUGUCUCCUUAGGCUCCUCUUGGACAUUCUGAGCAUGUGAGACCUGAGGACUGCAAACAGCUAUAAGAGGCUCCAAAUUAAUCAUAUCUUUCCCUUUGAGAAUCUGGCCAAGCUCCAGCUAAUCUACUUGGAUGGGUUGCCAGCUAUCUGGAGAAAAAGAUCUUCCUCAGAAGAAUAGGCUUGUUGUUUUACAGUGUUAGUGAUCCAUUCCCUUUGACGAUCCCUAGGUGGAGAUGGGGCAUGAGGAUCCUCCAGGGGAAAAGCUCACUACCACUGGGCAACAACCCUAGGUCAGGAGGUUCUGUCAAGAUACUUUCCUGGUCCCAGAUAGGAAGAUAAAGUCUCAAAAACAACCACCACACGUCAAGCUCUUCAUUGUUCCUAUCUGCCAAAUCAUUAUACUUCCUACAAGCAGUGCAGAGAGCUGAGUCUUCAGCAGGUCCAAGAAAUUUGAACACACUGAAGGAAGUCAGCCUUCCCACCUGAAGAUCAACAUGCCUGGCACUCUAGCACUUGAGGAUAGCUGAAUGAAUGUGUCUUACCCAUUUCCAUGUUUCUCUUGCUAAUUUCUUUCGUGUGUGCCUUUGCCUCAUUUUCUCUUUUUGUUCACAAGAGUGGUCUGUGUCUUGUCUUAGACAUAUCUCUCAUUUUUCAUUUUGUUGCUAUUUCUCUUUGCUCUCCUAGAUGUGGCUCUUCUUUCACGCUUUAUUUCAUGUCUCCUUUUUGGGUCACAUGCUGUGUGCUUUUUGUCCUUUUCUUGUUCUGUCUACCUCUCCUUUCUCUGCCUACCUCUCUUUUCUCUUUGUGAACUGUGAUUAUUUGUUACCCCUUCCCCUUCUCGUUCGUUUUAAAUUUCACCUUUUUUCUGAGUCUGGCCUCCUUUCUGCUGUUUCUACUUUUUAUCUCACAUUUCUCAUUUCUGCAUUUCCUUUCUGCCUCUCUUGGGCUAUUCUCUCUCUCCUCCCCUGCGUGCCUCAGCAUCUCUUGCUGUUUGUGAUUUUCUAUUUCAGUAUUAAUCUCUGUUGGCUUGUAUUUGUUCUCUGCUUCUUCCCUUUCUACUCACCUUUGAGUAUUUCAGCCUCUUCAUGAAUCUAUCUCCCUCUCUUUGAUUUCAUGUAAUCUCUCCUUAAAUAUUUCUUUGCAUAUGUGGGCAAGUGUACGUGUGUGUGUGUCAUGUGUGGCAGAGGGGCUUCCUAACCCCUGCCUGAUAGGUGCAGAACGUCGGCUAUCAGAGCAAGCAUUGUGGAGCGGUUCCUUAUGCCAGGCUGCCAUGUGAGAUGAUCCAAGACCAAAACAAGGCCCUAGACUGCAGUAAAACCCAGAACUCAAGUAGGGCAGAAGGUGGAAGGCUCAUAUGGAUAGAAGGCCCAAAGUAUAAGACAGAUGGUUUGAGACUUGAGACCCGAGGACUAAGAUGGAAAGCCCAUGUUCCAAGAUAGAUAGAAGCCUCAGGCCUGAAACCAACAAAAGCCUCAAGAGCCAAGAAAACAGAGGGUGGCCUGAAUUGGACCGAAGGCCUGAGUUGGAUGGAAGUCUCAAGGCUUGAGUUAGAAGUCUUAAGACCUGGGACAGGACACAUGGAAGGCCUAAGAACUGAGACUUGUGACACAAGGCCAACGACCUAAGAUUAGCCCAGGGUUGUAGCUGGAAGACCUACAACCCAAGGAUGGAAGGCCCCUGUCACAAAGCCUACCUAGAUGGAUAGAGGACCCAAGCGAAAAAGAAGCCCUAGACUGAGAAGAUAAAAUGGUCAGGUUGUUGGGGAAAAAAAAGUGCCAGGCUCUCUAGAGAAAAAUGUGAAGAGAUGCUCCAGGCCAAUGAGAAGAAUUAGACAAGAAAUACACAGAUGUGCCAGACUUCUGAGAAGCACCUGCCAGCAACAGCUUCCUUCUUUGAGCUUAGUCCAUCCCUCAUGAAAAAUGACUGACCACUGCUGGGCAGCAGGAGGGAUGAUGACCAACUAAUUCCCAAACCCCAGUCUCAUUGGUACCAGCCUUGGGGAACCACCUACACUUGAGCCACAAUUGGUUUUGAAGUGCAUUUACAAGGUUUGUCUAUUUUCAGUUCUUUACUUUUUACAUGCUGACACAUACAUACACUGCCUAAAUAGAUCUCUUUCAGAAACAAUCCUCAGAUAACGCAUAGCAAAAUGGAGAUGGAGACAUGAUUUCUCAUGCAACAGCUUCUCUAAUUAUACCUUAGAAAUGUUCUCCUUUUUAUCAUCAAAUCUGCUCAAGAAGGGCUUUUUAUAGUAGAAUAAUAUCAGUGGAUGAAAACAGCUUAACAUUUUACCAUGCUUAAGUUUUAAGAAUAAAAUAAAAAUUGGAAAUAAUUGGCCAAAAUUGAAAGGAAAAAUUUUUUUAAAAUUUCUCUAAAUGUAGGCCUGGCUGGGCUUUGACCUUUUCCGUUUUUAAAUCACUCACAGAGGGUGGGACAGGAGGAAGAGUGAAGGAAAAGGUCAAACCUGUUUUAAGGGCAACCUGCCUUUGUUCUGAAUUGGUCUUAAGAACAUUACCAGCUCCAGGUUUAAAUUGUUCAGUUUCAUGCAGUUCCAAUAGCUGAUCAUUGUUGAGAUGAGGACAAAAUCCUUUGUCCUCACUAGUUUGCUUUACAUUUUUGAAAAGUAUUAUUUUUGUCCAAGUGCUUAUCAACUAAACCUUGUGUUAGGUAAGAAUGGAAUUUAUUAAGUGAAUCAGUGUGACCCUUCUUGUCAUAAGAUUAUCUUAAAGCUGAAGCCAAAAUAUGCUUCAAAAGAAGAGGACUUUAUUGUUCAUUGUAGUUCAUACAUUCAAAGCAUCUGAACUGUAGUUUCUAUAGCAAGCCAAUUACAUCCAUAAGUGGAGAAGGAAAUAGAUAAAUGUCAAAGUAUGAUUGGUGGAGGGAGCAAGGUUGAAGAUAAUCUGGGGUUGAAAUUUUCUAGUUUUCAUUCUGUACAUUUUUAGUUAGACAUCAGAUUUGAAAUAUUAAUGUUUACCUUUCAAUGUGUGGUAUCAGCUGGACUCAGUAACACCCCUUUCUUCAGCUGGGGAUGGGGAAUGGAUUAUUGGAAAAUGGAAAGAAGAAAGUAACUAAAAGCCUUCCUUUCACAGUUUCUGGCAUCACUACCACUACUGAUUAAACAAGAAUAAGAGAACAUUUUAUCAUCAUCUGCUUUAUUCACAUAAAUGAAGUUGUGAUGAAUAAAUCUGCUUUUAUGCAGACACAAGGAAUUAAGUGGCUUCGUCAUUGUCCUUCUACCUCAAAGAUAAUUUAUUCCAAAAGCUAAGAUAAAUGGAAGACUCUUGAACUUGUGAACUGAUGUGAAAUGCAGAAUCUCUUUUGAGUCUUUGCUGUUUGGAAGAUUGAAAAAUAUUGUUCAGCAUGGGUGACCACCAGAAAGUAAUCUUAAGCCAUCUAGAUGUCACAAUUGAAACAAACUGGGGAGUUGGUUGCUAUUGUAAAAUAAAAUAUACUGUUUUGAAAACUUUGUAUUUUGAUGUGACAAUUUCUAACUCAC